GGGAAUAUAGCUCAGUUGGUAGAGUGCUUGCCUUGCAUGCACAAGGCCCUGGGUUCAAUCCCCAGUACCUCCG
rnacentral:tRNA from 1 species